rnacentral:sRNA from 1 species
UAAGAAAUAUGGACCUCUUGCCUGUCCUAGAAGCUUUAUAUACAUAUAGAUAGACAAGAGAAAUGGGAGGAAAAAAAUGAAGACUCCAUGAUUUUUCGAUUGAGUCUAAUCUAAUAGGUCCCGAGGACUUUCUCCAGAAGAGCAAAGAUGCAUUGGAAAGCAAUUAUGUGUCUGAACACCUUCACGAGUGGAUUGAUCUAAUAUUUGGCUACAAACAAAAAGGGAGUGAUGCAGUUGGGGCCCAUAAUGUAUUUCAUCCCCUGACCUAUGAAGGAGGUGUAGACUUGAACAGCAUCCAGGAUCCUGAUGAGAAGGUAGCCAUGCUUACGCAAAUCUUGGAAUUUGGGCAGACACCAAAACAACUAUUUGUGACACCACAUCCUCGAAGGAUCACCCCGAAGUUUAAAAGUUUGUCCCAGACCUCCAGUUAUAAUGCUUCUAUGGCAGAUUCCCCAGGUGAAGAGUCUUUUGAAGACCUGACCGAAGAAAGCAAAACACUGGCCUGGAAUAACAUCACCAAACUGCAGUUACACGAGCACUAUAAAAUCCACAAAGAAGCAGUUACUGGAAUCACGGUCUCUCGCAAUGGAUCUUCAGUAUUCACAACAUCCCAAGAUUCCACCUUGAAGAUGUUUUCUAAAGAAUCAAAAAUGCUACAAAGAAGUAUAUCAUUUUCAAAUAUGGCUUUAUCGUCUUGUUUACUUUUACCAGGAGAUGCCACUGUCAUAACUUCUUCAUGGGAUAAUAAUGUGUAUGU